UAACCUGCCUGGUAGCGGGGGAUAACUAUUGGAAACGAUAGCUAAUACCGCAUAAUAGUAGAUGUUGCAUGACAUUUACUUAAAAGGUGCAAUUGCAUCACUACCAGAUGGACCUGCGUUGUAUUAGCUAGUUGGUGGGGUAACGGCUCACCAAGGCGACGAUACAUAGCCGACCUGAGAGGGUGAUCGGCCACACUGGGACUGAGACACGGUCCAG
rnacentral:rRNA from 1 species